rnacentral:rRNA from 1 species
UGAGGAAUUUUGCGCAAUGGGGGAAACCCUGACGCAGCAACGCCGCGUGAGUGAUGAAGGCCUUCGGGUCGUAAAGCUCUGUCAAGUGGGAAGAACCUGCAUUGUGUUAACAUCGCAAUGCACUGACGGUACCACUGAAGGAAGCACCGGCUAACUCCGUGCCAGCAGCCGCGGUAAUA